AGUGAACGCUGGCGGUAGGCCUAACACACGCAAGUCGAACGGUAGCACAUUAAGCGCUUGCGCUUACGGGUGGCGAGUAGCGUACCGGUGAGGAAUACAUCGGAAUCUACAUCUUCGCGGGGGAUCACGUAGGGAAACUUACGCUCAUACCGCAUAAGCCCUACGGGUGAAAGCAGCGGAUCUUCGGACCUUGCGCGAUCGAAUGAGCCGAUGUCGGAUUAGCUAGCUGGCGGGGUAAAGGCCCACCAAGGCGACGAUCCGUAGCUGGUCUGAGAGGAUGAUCAGCCACACUGGAACUGAGACACGGCCCAGACUCCUACGGGAGGCAGCAGUGGGGAAUAUUGGACAAAGGGCGCAAGCCUGAUCCAGCCAUGCCGCGUGCGUGAAGAAGGCCUUCGGGUUGUAAAGCGCUUUUGUUAGGGAAGAAAAGCUUCAGGUUAAUACCCCGCUCUUCUGACGGUACCCAAAGAAUAAGCACCGGCUAACUUCGUG
rnacentral:rRNA from 1 species